AACAAUGGCGCGCUUUUUAGCCAGAGAAAUGAAUAAACAUGGUUUUUUAAUCAUGAAAAGUCUUUUUGGUGAUGUUAGAAUUUUCAGAGAAAAUCUAGAGUCAGUCAACGAAGAAUAUAUCGAAUCUGCAGUUUGAAGACUAGAGCAAACCCAUUAUAGCCAGGGUGUUCGUGAGCAAAAGCAAGUGCAAGAUUUGUCAAACAUCUCUGUUCACCCAGCUAAAAUGGAAUAUUUGUGAAAAGCUGCAAAUAUUUUAAGGUUUACAUAACCAAAGUAGAGUUAUAUUCAACUGUUUAUAAAGAUGAGGUGGAUCAUCAAAAUGAAGACGAUAAGCAUUUCGACGAAGGGCUAGACUGAAUGACUCAAGUGAAACCAGGACUGUCAACAAGCAAUCGUUUCGCUGAAGCCAGCAGCACACGAGAGCUAUCAGCUGAACUUAUAUUUUCUCAUACCAGUUAGCUCAGGCGAUAGCCCGCUAUGUGCCAAUGAAUUUUACUAAGUUAUGCUGCUCAUGCAGCACUUUCUCGCAAAUCAAACGUGUUUGAUAUUUUUGGCCACGCAAACCAAAAAAAAACUAACCGAUUGCGCUGAAUGUGAGCUUUUAUCACAUGGCCGAACAGCAAAUAUGGCGAAAAAAUUUCAAGAAGAGAUAAUAUUGUUUAUUUUAGUAAGAAGACGAUGGCGUCGGCGUUAUAAAGCACAAUGUAGAAAGACAUGGACAAAAAGAUGAAUGACAAGAAGAAAUGAACAAGAUCGAGAAAAGAGCAAGAUCAACUUGAUGGAAAGUCUUUUGAUAAUGUUUGGCAUUAAUUGGCCCAAACAUCGUUAUGAAAAACAAUAAUAGCCUGGAAAUUAAGUAUACCACCAGGGGAAAGACAUUCACAGUUAAGGCAACUCUGAGAGGUAAAAAUGAAUCAGGAGACCAUCAUAAGGCCUCUCUGAGAGGAAAAAAUGAGUCACGGUGACCAUCAGAAGGCAUCUCUGAGAGG